GAUGAACGCUGGCGGCGUGCCUAAUACAUGCAAGUCGAGCGAACAGACGAGGAGCUUGCUCCUCUGACGUUAGCGGCGGACGGGUGAGUAACACGUGGAUAACCUACCUAUAAGACUGGGAUAACUUCGGGAAACCGGAGCUAAUACCGGAUAAUAUAUUGAACCGCAUGGUUCAAUAGUGAAAGACGGUUUUGCUGUAUCUUCUAGAUGGAUCCGCGCCGCAUUAGCUGGUUGGUAAGGUAACGGCUUACCAAGGCAACGAUGCGUAGCCGACCUGAGGGGGUGGUCGCCCACACUGGAACUGAGCCACGGUCCAGGCUCCUACGGGAGGCAGCAGUAGGGAAUCUUCCGCAGUGGGCGAAAGCUUUGCGGAGCAACGCCGCGUGAGUGAUGAAGGUCUUCGGAUCGUAAAGCUCUGUUAUUAGGGAAGAACAAAUGUGUAAGUAACUAUGCACGUCUUGACGGUACCUAAUCAGAAAGCCACGGCUAACUACGUG
rnacentral:rRNA from 1 species